AUUGCUUCUCAGCCUUUUGGCUAAGAUGAAGUGUAGUAUCUAUUCUUACCAGUUUACUAUCUGAUAUGUCCUCUAUUCAAGGACAAUAUAGUAAGUGGAUUUUUGGAACAGGGAAAUGGAAUAGGAGCUUUCCCCGUCCAUUCCACUCAUCCAUCUGGCAUUGCAGUACCUCCAGGAGCAGUGCACCACCC
rnacentral:snRNA from 1 species